UAACGAUGAAAGUUCUAGCUUGCUAGAAGUGGAUUAGUGGCGCACGGGUGAGUAAUGCAUAGGUUAUGUGCCCCAUAGUCUGGGAUAGCCACUGGAAACGGUGAUUAAUACCGGAUACUCCUUACGAGGGAAAGUUUUUCGCUAUGGGAUCAGCCUAUGUCCUAUCAGCUUGUUGGUGAGGUAAUGGCUCACCAAGGCUAUGACGGGUAUCCGGCCUGAGAGGGUGAACGGACACACUGGAACUGAGACACGGUCCAGACUCCUACGGGAGGCAGCAGUAGGGAAUAUUGCUCAAUGGGCGAAAGCCUGAAGCAGCAACGCCGCGUGGAGGAUGAAGGUUUUAGGAUUGUAAACUCCUUUUGUUAGAGAAGAUUAUGACGGUAUCUCACGA
rnacentral:rRNA from 1 species